ACAGACAGGACCAUGGCUUUUAUCUUUGUCUUCCUGGGAUCUAGUAUAGGAUUUGGUCUAUUGAAGACAACCAAUUGGAAUUUGUUGAGUGGAAACAACUUUGAUGCUGAAGAACAAGACAGACAUGGUCUCUACCCUCUGGGAUGUAUCAACUAAGGCAAUAAUGUGACAGAUAAACCCUGAAAUCCCACAGACCUCAUCCCAUGUGGAUAAUCAAGUGAUUUGGUUGCAUUAUCUGUGAACUCACUGCUCAUCAGGUUUGAACUGAUCAACCAGACAGUGUCUCCUUCAUUGCUCCUGGGGUUACAUGCUGGCUUAAAGGCAAUGACCCUCCC